rnacentral:misc_RNA from 1 species
UUAUGUUAUACGUAUAAUAAAAAAAAGUUCUGCAGAUAAGACUAAGAAAUAUAAAUAAUAAGUAUAAAAAGUUUUUGAACGUGCGGUUGAUUACUGUGUGCAAUUUCUAUUCAAAGUAUAAUAAGAAUGUCUAAAUCUGUGCAAAAUCUUGUCUGUGUUAACGAUUAUGAAGAAUACGCAAGAAAUAACUUAUCCCAUAUGUAUUUCGAAUACUAUCAUGGAGGCGCUGGAGAAGAAAAGACUUUGGAAUGGAAUAAAACAGGUUUUAACAAAUAUCGGAUCAGACCGAAAUAUAUGCGCCCAGUAAACAAUAGAAAUUUAUCCAUAAGUAUCUUGGGCAAGCCGGUUGCAUUUCCCAUAGGGAUAUCUCCUACAGCUUUUCAUAAAUUAGCACAUCGCGAUGGAGAAUGUGCUACUGCAAAAGCUACCCAGGAUUUAGAUACCAUUUUUAUAUUGAGUUCACAUUCUAAUUCUACCUUUGAAGAGGUUAUAAAGGCGGCACCACAUGGAAGGAAGUGGUUACAAAUGUAUAUAUUUCAAAGCAGGGAGAUGAUUAAAGAUUUUGCAAAAGUAGCAGAAGAAAGUGGAUUUGAAGCAUUGGUUCUAACAGUGGAUUUUACCUUGAAGGGAUUAAGACGACACUUUUUAAGAAGCGAGUUUGUAACGCCACCACAUGCACAGUUCGUCCUUCUUAAAAGAUAUCAAGAGAAGAAUACAAUAUCUAGUUUUGUUGAUCUUCCUGAUUUAGACGCCGAUUGGAGCUGUGUUAGAUGGUUAACAACAGUCACUAAAUUACCAAUUGUAAUAAAAGGUGUGCUGACUGCUGAGGAUGCUAUCGCAGCAGCGGAUGCAGGAGCUUCUGCUAUUCUUGUUUCUAAUCACGGUGCUAGACAACUAGAUAGUCUUCCAUCAACAAUAGAAGCUUUACCAGAGGUAGUAAAAGCAGUUGGGCAUAGAGUUGAAGUUUACAUGGAUGGAGGUAUUAGAGAUGGCACUGAUGUAUAUAAAGCUCUAGCUCUAGGAGCUAGAAUGGUAUUUAUUGGUAGACCUGCCAUAUGGGGUCUGGUGCAUGGUGGAGAACAGGGCGUCAAAAACAUUUUGACAAUGUUAAAGGGGGAAUUAGAUAAUGCAAUGGCUAUCACAGGUUGUUCCAUUCAAGAGCAGCUUGUACUAGCCGUGCGGUUUUUUGUUGAUUAUCCCAGCUAGCUCUAUGGUUUUCAACUUAUCCCACAAAUACUCUAAAGGGUUAAGGUCAGGGUGUUCAAAAAUAACAGAUGUCAAUAAAGAAAGAGUGGUUCACGAAAACUACUACGCAAAACUAUGAAUAUCUUAGGCAUUGCUCCAUUAAAAUUAAACAAUUUUGUUUCCAGUGCAAAUAGAAAAUUUAGCAGUCUCGAAUCAAAAUAAAUAUUUGCAAUAUUGCAUCCAUUUAAAAAAAUAUUAUUGUUGAAUUAAAUUUUUAAGUAUUUUA